UACGUAGGCAGCAAGCGUUGUUCGGAGUUACUGGGCGUAAAGAGUGCGUAGGUGGUGCCCUAAGUCUGUUGUGAAAUCUCCCGGCUUAACUGGGAGGGUGCGGUGGAAACUGGGGUGCUUGAGUGUGGGAGAGGUAAGCGGAAUUCCUGGUGUAGCGGUGAAAUGCGUAGAUAUCAGGAAGAACACCCGUGGCGAAGGCGGCUCUCUGGUACGUAACUGACGCUGAGACGCGAAAGCGUGGGGAGCGAACAGG
rnacentral:rRNA from 1 species